CUCAGAAGGAGAGGCACGGAACUGUCA
rnacentral:piRNA from 1 species